rnacentral:rRNA from 1 species
UUGGACCUACGGGAGGCAGCAGUGAGGAAUAUUGGUCAAUGGGCGGGAGCCUGAACCAGCCAAGUCGCGUGAGGGAAGACGGUCCUAUGGAUUGUAAACCUCUUUAGGCGGGGAGCAAUGCCGGGCACGCGUGCCCGGAGGGAGGGUACCCGCAGAAUAAGCAUCGGCUAACUCCGUGCCAGCAGCCGCGGUAAUACGGAGGAUGCGAGCGUUAUCCGGAUUUAUUGGGUUUAAAGGGUGCGUAGGCGGUCCGUUAAGUCAGCGGUAAAAUUGCGGGGCUCAACCCCGUCGAGCCGUUGAAACUG